GAUGAACGCUGGCGGCGUGCCUAAUACAUGCAAGUCGAGCGAACAGACGAGGAGCUUGCUCCUCUGACGUUAGCGGCGGACGGGCGAGUAACACGUGGAUAACCUACCUAUAAGACUGGGAUAACUUCGGGAAACCGGAGACAAUACCGGCUAAUAUAUUGAACCGCAUGGUUCAAUAGUGAAAGACGGUUUUGCUGUCACUUAUAGAUGGAUCCGCGCCGCAUUAGCUAGUUGGUAAGGUAACGGCUUACCAAGGCAACGAUGCGUAGCCGACCUGAGAGGGUGAUCGGCCACACUGGAACUGAGACACGGUCCAGACUCCUACGGGAGGCAGCAGUAGGGAAUCUUCCGCAAUGGGCGAAAGCCUGACGGAGCAACGCCGCGUGAGUGAUGAAGGUCUUCGGAUCGUAAAACUCUGUUAUUAGGGAAGAACAAAUGUGUAAGUAACUAUGCACGUCUUGACGGUACCUAAUCAGAAAGCCACGGCUAACUACGUG
rnacentral:rRNA from 1 species